CCCUCCCUCCCUCUCCCCCAGGUCACCUCUUGAGCUCCCUCGUCCUCCUUUCUGCACACACACACACACACACACACACACACACACACACACACUCACACACACUCACACACUCACACGGCCUCCACGUCCCCUCUUCUCUGGAGGAACACAGGCUUUUACCUAGAACGCGCUCACCGCUCGUCUCACAGCUCCCCCUCCUCUCUCCUCUCUCCCCCCCCCCCCACCCCACCCUCGCAGGGGCCCCAGCCCGUCCUCCCGUUUGUUUACUUCACUCCCUCCACAUAAUGCCGGGAUUAAUUUCCGAAAGCCGAUUUGAGCUGCGGCACGCGUUGCCAAAGAGCGCGAGAGCAGAACUUUUGUACUCGGGGAAGUUUCCCCUUCACACUGGCUUAGAGGUGGACCGCUCGCUCUCCCCCCUUUACGCCGCUCACUUUAAUCUCUCCCGCAGAGCAGAGGGGGAGCGAGGGAUGGAGGGGAGAGGGCUCUCCACACACGGCUGGGACAACAUGUCUUCACAGGGGUGUCGUCUGCUUUCCCUGUGUGCCUCCCUCCGGUCCUCUGCCAGCACCUCUUCGGGUUAUUUCUUUCCGCGCUCUUUUUCUGUAGAGCAAAUUUCUGUUCUUUGCUUUUUUCGACCGCAAAAGUUUCUUCUAUUAUAAGGUUUGAUCUUUGGAAAUAGAAGAAUGCAUCAGAUAUACGUAAUGCCCAGGGCGGCAAGUAAGAAUAAUGUAAUGGAUCAAUUCGACAAUUAUUCAAAUGUAUUGCUCAUGUGAUAAAAGCCAAUUCCAAAAUCCAGAUCUAUCUAAUGUAUGAUGAUAUGAAACAUAACAACAGCUAAUCCCUCAGAAAAUUGCGCUGCUGGAACCAACAGACGUGAACUGCGACUAACAAUUAUUUCCAUUACCUGUGCAUUCGUCUAUUGAUUUGUGUUUUUCUAUGGAUUUGUUUGUUCUCUGAAAACUAAAUGCGCCUCACAAUGUCGCAGAGCUCUAGGCGACGUGUUUGUCGAAUCGACAUUUAAAAAGACAAAUGUGUUUUUACAAUUAUGUAAAACAGAGAAAAGCAGCAAAUCUGCGCAUUGGAAAUGCCGAAAUUAAUAAUGGCGUUUCAUAAUUGAUUCAAAAAGUCAAAGUUGUCUGGUGUUUUAUUUUUUUAGUAACUCACCCACUUUUUUAUUCCAAGUUUUCUAACAGGCAAAUUACCACUCGUUGAAUUACUUCCACCUCGGGGCAUGUUGUGUUUUGCAAUUUAAAAAAAAUAUUUAAACGUUAAAAUCACUAAGGGAUGUGAAUAACAUUGGUUAUCUUGUCACGGCACCUGUCAAGUGUCGUGAUGUAUUAGGUAUUAAGUGAGCAGUCACUUCUUGAAGAUGAUGUUCUGAGUGACCUUGUGAUGGCUGUACGACGGGGACAGUGUCUUGUGUCUAGGAAGGACAGCCGGCGAACGGGAGACGGGAGUCACGGGCGCCCAAGGCUCGUCGGUGCGCGUGGCGAAUCGGAGAGGGCGGUGGUCCUGACUAAGAGCCCGAGGUGUCGGCUCGGCCUCCGGCACCUUUAGCCGAUUGAGCAUCUGUGGGAUGUGUGCUGGAAAAAACAAAUCUGACCCAUGGAGGGGCCGCGCUUCCCGACUCGCAGGACGUAAAGGGAGCUGAUGCACGACGUACCACAGGACACCCAGAGGGCCUUGAGGAGGCAGACGAGUGUCGGAGGUUGAUUUCGAUGAUUUCAGAUAAAGGACGACUCAGUUUACGGCACAAAGGAAGCCCGUCACCCGUUGCGUAACGCAACUUCUCCUCCGUCUUUCUCUCAAAUUGGUGUCGACAACUUCCUCAGGAGCUCCGAGGAAAAAGAACCACUUCUGUCUAACGUUCAGCCUCCCGACGAGCCCCGACUUGUAAACUAAGCUGUUCUGAAGGAGGUGAUGUUUGAUUCGGCGUGGGAGGUUUGGAGAGCUGCGGCCAAGAGGACAGAAAAGGCAAAGGGCAGAUCACUGUACAGGGAGGAUUCUGGGAGUCGGCUGGAAAAGUGCGCGACGAUUCGAAAACGUGACAAUCCAACAGCGACAAAGACAAAAACAAGGAAGAAAAAAAACAACGGAAAGCACAGAGGAGUGGACGGAAGACGGAGGGAACAAAAGAUGGAGAGCAGGCGGCGACAAGCAAGCGGAUGAAUGAACAAUCAAACACGUGCUUUUUAAAAAACCCUUUUUCGCUUUACAGUCGCUUCCCGCAGCGUUUGUUUCACCGUCGGCGGCCCCAAAGGGGAGAAAAAAGAGAAGAGAAGAGACGAAGCGGGCUGAUAUUUUCUGAAAGUAAAGUAAAUACCAUCGCCCGCAACCCACUGUAGCUCCGUUCAUCGAAUACUGUGUAUAGGACGACACAGGAUUUCCAGCCCCGUCCCAGCUCUUCUAAGCGUACUGGACCCCUCGACGUGGGACAGCACAGUCUUCUCACGCUGCUGCUGCUCUGAAACCCACAGGUCACACUCCGGCCGUGUUCAAUCUUUUUAGAAAUGUUCCUUUCUCAUCCGCGUGACGCGGGAUGGGUUCUCCGGGGGCGCCGCGUGAUUUCGUCGUCGUCGUAGUGAAUACGUCAUUUCAGCCCCAAGGCCUGUAAAAUAGUCCCAGCGGCUCUUGACAACGCAUCGUUCUUCCAGAAAACAAUGUUGUGUGUGUAAAGGGGACAUUCCACCCCCCCCCCCGCACAGAGCCGGGUCAGCCCCGCACAGAGCCGCCGUCCCGCCGGAGACGGUGCUUCGUUUGAUUCUUACGCGCCGAUCCGGACGACCGGCGAGACGGAGCUGACACAGUCACCGAAGGUCAAAGUGCAGAUAAGAGGUCACAUUAAAAAACAAGUCACAUGACAUCGCUCCUCUGCGGUCCCCCGAUCACACCAGGAAUACCGCUUGGUGCCCCGGGUGGGGCGGGGUCGGACGGGGGCCGGGUUCAUUACAAAAAAAGGAAGGAAGGGAUCAAGGAAGGCUUGAGGAAGUGUGGGAAGGAGGAGUAAAUAGAGGAGGGCCGUGAGCCGAAAGAUCUGCUCAUCUUUCCGUCAGUCUGGAAGAGCGCUCUCCCUUUCCCCCCUCUUCUCCACCCCGUCAUCCUCGCUGCAGCAGCAGGGACUCCAGACUCGCCGCGCCCGCCGGCUGUCAGACCUGCACGCCGCGGCCGUGCAUUUGGAUGACCUGCGCUCGCAGCGUCUGGAUGGCGGCCAGUAUCAGCUUCUGGUGCUCGAGGGAAGUGAUGCCAAGGCUCAGGACGUCCCUGUGGACAGAUUCACCAAGAUUAGACGUGAAAUUUAUUGGACUCUUUUUCAUUGGCCGGAGUCGGAGACUUCUAAUAAUUGUAUGCUCGGAUUUCCAGGGUUCCACUUAUGAACCGUUUAUCACUGGGGGGGGAAACAAAAACUAAACUUGGCUCAUCUGCUUCAUCGCCGGUGACGCAGGAUUUAUGAUUCACUUCGGCGGACGAGCCAACGACUCUCGACGGCCCCGCCCACCGAAGCUGAUUGAGAAAACAGAUUAACAGAGCCUCUAGAGGAAUUACUUUGGCAACUCGGGUUGAACUGUGCCAUUAUUUGGAGGAGUGACUCAACGCCAGGCGGAAAAGCAGUAUUUCAAAGUCCUCUCAACAUAAAGGGUUUCAAGUUUGGUCAGCGGUGGUGCAGUGGUUGGCGCUGAUCGGACCGCCCAGGGGCCUUUCUGUGUGGAGUUUGAAUUGGAAUGCAAAACAGGAAAUUAAAAUGGCCGCUGAGACA